UUGAUUAGUUGUAGUUUUCUAUGA
rnacentral:piRNA from 1 species